rnacentral:rRNA from 1 species
UACGAAGGGGGCUAGCGUUGCUCGGAAUCACUGGGCGUAAAGGGUGCGUAGGCGGGUCUUUAAGUCAGGGGUGGAAUCCUGGAGCUCAACUCCAGAACUGCCUUUGAUACUGAAGAUCUUGAGUUCGGGAGAGGUGAGUGGAACUGCGAGUGUAGAGGUGAAAUUCGUAGAUAUUCGCAAGAACACCAGUGGCGAAGGCGGCUCACUGGCCCGGUACUGACGCUGAGGCACGAAAGCGUGGGGAGCAAACAGG